CUUACAAUAAUUGUAACAUUGCAAAGGGCCAUUACGAAGUACACAUAAAUAUGAAUGAUUUGAGUACGAAAUUUUUGGGGUCAAAUUUUUUCUACGAUACAUACUUCUUCAAGACUACAGCCUUCAACAAUGUCAAUAAUUUCUUUUGCGUCUACACAAUAAUUAAGUUAUUUAAACCAUAAAAAGUAUAUGUCACUUUUUAUAGUAAUUAUACCAUGAUAAGUUUCAAAAUAAUAAAAAAUUCAGAA
rnacentral:misc_RNA from 1 species